UACGUAGGGUGCGAGCGUUGUCCGGAAUUAUUGGGCGUAAAGAGCUUGUAGGCGGUUUGUCGCGUCUGCUGUGAAAAUCCGGGGCUCAACCCCGGACUUGCAGUGGAUACGGGCAGACUAGAGUGUGGUAGGGGAGACUGGAAUUCCUGGUGUAGCGGUGAAAUGCGCAGAUAUCAGGAGGAACACCGAUGGCGAAGGCAGGUCUCUGGGCCACUACUGACGCUGAGAAGCGAAAGCAUGGGGAGCGAACAGG
rnacentral:rRNA from 1 species